UCGGUAGAUGUGAGCCAAGGAUGACUUGCCGGUUGUGUAUCGGUAAAGUCUUCCUUGGCUCUUAUUUACUGUUU
rnacentral:pre_miRNA from 1 species